UCCUGACUGACCGAUAGUGAACCAGUACCGUGAGGGAAAGGCGAAAAGAACCCCGGCGAGGGGAGUGAAAAAGAACCUGAAACCGUGUACGUACAAGCAGUGGGAGCACGCUUAGGCGUGUGACUGCGUACCUUUUGUAUAAUGGGUCAGCGACUUAUAUUCUGUAGCAAGGUUAACCGAAUAGGGGAGCCGAAGGGAAACCGAGUCUUAACUGGGCGUUAAGUUGCAGGGUAUAGACCCGAAACCCGGUGAUCUAGCCAUGGGCAGGUUGAAGGUUGGGUAACACUAACUGGAGGACCGAACCGACUAAUGUUGAAAAAUUAGCGGAUGACUUGUGGCUGGGGGUGAAAGGCCAAUCAAACCGGGAGAUAGCUGGUUCUCCCCGAAAGCUAUUUAGGUAGCGCCUCGUGAAUUCAUCUCCGGGGGUAGAGCACUGUUUCGGCAAGGGGGUCAUCCCGACUUACCAACCCGAUGCAAACUGCGAAUACCGGAGAAUGUUAUCACGGGAGACACACGGCGGGUGCUAACGUCCGUCGUGAAGAGGGAAACAACCCAGACCGCCAGCUAAGGUCCCAAAGUCAUGGUUAAGUGGGAAACGAUGUGGGAAGGCCCAGACAGCCAGGAUGUUGGCUUAGAAGCAGCCAUCAUUUAAAGAAAGCGUAAUAGCUCACUGGUCGAGUCGGCCUGCGCGGAAGAUGUAACGGGGCUAAACCAUGCACCGAAGCUGCGGCAGCGACGCUUAUGCGUUGUUGGGUAGGGGAGCGUUCUGUAAGCCUGCGAAGGUGUGCUGUGAGGCAUGCUGGAGGUAUCAGAAGUGCGAAUGCUGACAUAAGUAACGAUAAAGCGGGUGAAAAGCCCGCUCGCCGGAAGACCAAGGGUUCCUGUCCAACGUUAAUCGGGGCAGGGUGAGUCGACCCCUAA
rnacentral:rRNA from 1 species